rnacentral:rRNA from 1 species
GAGUCCACGCCGUAAACGAUGAGUGCUAAUUGUUAGGGGGUUUCCGCCCCUUAGUGCUGCAGCUAACGCAUUAAUCACUCCGCCUGGGGAGUACGACCGCAAGGUUGAAACUCAAAGGAAUUGACGGGGGCCCGCACAAGCGGUGGAGCAUGUGGUUUAAUUCAAAGCAACGCGAACAACCUUACCAGGUCUUGACAUCCCAAUGACCGUCUUAUAGAUAAGAUUUUCCCUUCGGGGACAUUGGGUGACAGGUGGUGCAUGGUUGUCGUCAGCUCGUGUCGUGAGAUGUUGGGUUAAGUCCCGCAACGAGCGCAAUCCUUAUUCUUA